rnacentral:tRNA from 1 species
UGUGGGGUAGUGUAAGGGUAACAUUUGAGGCUCAUAACCUCAAGACAGUAAUUGCUUGUGAAGGUUCGAGUCCUUCCCCCGCAA